rnacentral:rRNA from 1 species
CUACGGCUGGCACCAGUAGGGAAUUUUCGGCAAUGGGCGAAAGCCUGACCGAGCAAUGCCGCGUGAACGAUGAAGGCCUUCGGGUUGUAAAGUUCUGUUAUCAGGGAAGAACAUACGGAUUAGGAAAUGACUCCGUACUGACGGUACCUGAUCAGAAAGCUCCGGCUAACUACGUGCCAGCAGCCGCGGUAAUACGUAGGGAGCAAGCGUUAUCCGGAAUUAUUGGGCGUAAAGCGUGCGUAGGCGGUUCGUUAAGUCAAAUCUAAAAGCCCACAGCUUAACUGUGGAGGGCGAUUUGAAACUGGCGAACUUGAGUACGGCAGAGGUUAGUGGAAUUCAAUGUGUAGCGGUGGAAUGCGUAGAUAUAUUGAGGAACACCAGUGGCGAAGGCGGCUAACUGGACCGGAACUGACGCUGAGGCACGAAAGCGUGGGGAGCAAACAGGAUUAGAUACCCUAGUAGUC